CUUCUGCAAAGAACUCCCUGUGGUUCUCAAGGCUUUUGUUCAUGGAGAUGAGAAUUUACUAAGGAAUUAUCCAGAGUUACAAGAAGCUUUAGUUUGGGUAUAUUUUCAUUCAAACAUUCAAGAAUUCAACAAAGUAGAAUGUUGGGGUCCACUCAGAGAUGCAACUUCCCCCUCAUCUUCUUCUGGUGGGGUAGGUGGGGUGAAGAGUACAAGUUUUACAAGCAAUAGCAACAAAAAAUGGGAAUUACCAAAGCCUUGUGAAGAGGCUUGUGCCUGUUGCUUUCCCCCAGUGAGUGUUAUGCCUUGGCUUUCUUCAAAUCUUGAUGGGGUAGGUGAGGAAAAUGGGACCAUCCAACAAGGCUUGCAAGAGCAGCAAAGUUGAAAAAAAUGAGAUAGUGAUUAUGUUUGGUUUAUUAUGUGAUUUGAUGUAAUUAACUAUUUAAUUAGUUGUCAUUAUAGGGUUUGUGGAAGCAGCAUUAUUUAUUUGGUUGAAAUGUAAAUAAGAAUUCAGAGGUCAUGAUUAAAGACAAGAACAUCAAGUUUAGGAUGGUGAUACAUAACUAUACAAUUAUUGUAAGUUGGGUUGUG
rnacentral:misc_RNA from 1 species